UACGGAGGGUGCAAGCGUUGCUCGGAAUUAUUGGGCGUAAAGGGUAGGUAGGUGGUCUCAUUUGUCUGGGGUGAAAGCCUUGAGCUUAACUCAAGAAGUGCCCCAGAAACGGUGAGACUAGAGUCCUGGAGAGGGUCGUGGAAUUCCCGGUGUAGCGGUGAAAUGCGUAGAGAUCGGGAGGAACACCAGAGGCGAAGGCGGCGACCUGGACAGGAACUGACACUAAACUACGAAAGCGUGGGGAGCAAACAGG
rnacentral:rRNA from 1 species